rnacentral:rRNA from 1 species
UGCGGAGGGUGCAAGCGUUACUCGGAAUCACUGGGCGUAAAGAGCGUGUAGGCGGAUAGAUAAGUCAGGAGUGAAAUCCUAUGGCUCAACCAUAGAACUGCUCUUGAAACUGUCAAUCUAGAGUGUGGGAGAGGUAGAUGGAAUUUCUGGUGUAGGGGUAAAAUCCGUAGAGAUCAGAAGGAAUACCGAUUGCGAAGGCGAUCUACUGGAACAUAACUGACGCUGAGACGCGAAAGCGUGGGGAGCAAACAGGAUUAGAUACCCUGGUAGUCCACGCCCUAAACGAUGUACACUAGUUGUUGUGGGGCUCGACCCUGCAGUAAUGCAGUUAACACAUUAAGUGUACCGCCUGGGGAGUACGGUCGCAAGAUUAAAACUCAAAGGAAUAGACGGGGACCCGCACAAGCGGUGGAGCAUGUGGUUUAAUUCGACGAUACACGAAGAACCUUACCUGGUCUUGACAUAGUAAGAACUUAGUAGAGAUACUUUGGUGCUAGCUUGCUAGAACUUACAUACAGGUGCUGCACGGCUGUCGUCAGCUCGUGUCGUGAGAUGUUGGGUUAAGUCCCGCAACGAGCGCAACCCUCGUCGUUAGUUGCUAACAGUUCGGCUGAGAACUCUAACGAGACUGCCUACGCAAGUAGGAGGAAGGUGAGGACGACGUCAAGUCAUCAUGGCCCUUACGACCAGGGCUACACACGUGCUACAAUGGGGCAUACAAAGAGCCGCAAUACCGCGAGGUGGAGCAAAUCUCAAAAAUGCCUCCCAGUUCGGAUUGUAGUCUGCAACUCGACUACAUGAAGUUGGAAUCGCUAGUAAUCGUAGAUCAGCUAUGCUACGGUGAAUACGUUCCCGGGUCU